rnacentral:piRNA from 1 species
UUGCUGGUGAAUGACCACUGGGUCUA